rnacentral:rRNA from 1 species
UACAGAGGCCUCAAGCGUUGUUCGGAAUCACUGGGCGUAAAGGGCGCGUAGGCGGCCAUUCAAGUCGGGGGUGAAAGCCUGUGGCUCAACCACAGAAUUGCCUUCGAUACUGUUUGGCUUGAGUAUGGUAGAGGUCAGUGGAACUGCGAGUGUAGAGGUGAAAUUCGUAGAUAUUCGCAAGAACACCAGUGGCGAAGGCGGCUGACUGGACCAUUACUGACG